rnacentral:rRNA from 1 species
GAUGAACGCUAGCGACAGGCUUAACACAUGCAAGUCGAGGGGCAGCGAGGUGGUAGCAAUACCGCUGUCGGCGACCGGCGCACUGGUGAGUAACACGUAUGCGACCUGCCCCCUACAGGGGUAUAACCCGUAGAAAUGCGGACUAAUCCCCCAUAGUCCUGGAGGCUGCAUGGCUUUCAGGGGAAAGGCCAGCCGGUAGGGGAUGGGCAUGCGGCGCAUUAGCUAGUUGGCGGGGCAACGGCCCACCAAGGCGACGAUGCGUAGGGGUUCUGAGAGGAAGGUCCCCCACACUGGUACUGAGACACGGACCAGACUCCUACGGGAGGCAGCAGUGAGGAAUAUUGGUCAAUGGGCGCAGGCCUGAACCAGCCAAGUCGCGUGAGGGAGGACGGUCCUACGGAUUGUAAACCUCUUUUGUCGGGGAGUAACGUGCGGGACGCGUCCCGUAUUGAGAGUACCCGAAGAAAAAGCAUCGGCUAACUCCGUG